rnacentral:lncRNA from 1 species
CGCAGUGCCCCUUGCUCCACCUGCCGCCGCAGAAAGGACGUCAGCGGCUGCAUCUGGAUGACCCACAGGGGUGGUGAGGCGGUGCUGCCCUGCGGCAAGCCGUUCAGCACUGGGAAGGCGUCAGAGAGCAUCCCGUUCACACACACGCGGGCAGAGCCGUUGGCAGUGAGCAGGCGGAUCCAGCGCAGCAUGCGCGGCCCAAACCCAAGUCCCUCCGCGGACGCAUACAGCCACU